CCGUUAACUCCAAAAUGAGGCCAAAACCCAUUUUCACUAUUUCCUUUUCCGCCCUCGACCUCAAACCUGUACUCGUGUCUGAGAACCCCUUUGACCCCUGUUCUACUCCCUCCAUCCGAGCUUGGAUCCAACUGCUUCUCCGGCACCAACGAUCGCUCCAACCAUCUCACCGUCACGAGGCAGAGGAGGGGAAUUUAUUUAUCCACCAUCGGCCAUCUCCGAUGACCACCAGCAACAGUAAACAUGUGUGGCCGUGUGAUUCGAUGAGCUUGAUGGUCUGCUGAUAGUUCGAACUGGAGCUCCUGUACACAGGAGAUGUGGUUUCCCAUCAGAUGGAAGCACAAAGAGAUCAUAUGGGACCUGUAGAACUUUAUGCCCAUAUUCUCAUAAGCUCAAUGACCAGAUGACAAGAAGCAAAAGGGAGAGUUGUCGUAAUAAAGAGGGAGAAAAACACAAACCUUAAGAAAGAAAAACUCAAAAGAAUGAGUUCUCAAUUCACAUAUGGAAUUAGGUUUCAUAAUAACCUAAAGUAUAGUGUGAGAUAUUGCAAGUGUGGAGAAAAAUGUAUACUUCGUGUGUCAGAGACACCUGGUAAUCCUCAAAGGUUGUUUACAUUUGCCCUGGCAAACCCGCAAAUGAUACCAAAGAGGAAACUUAUUCCAAUAUCAAGUACUCCAAUUUAAAGCUUUGCAACUUUUUUGAAUGGGCAUUUCCUAUAAUUUAUUUAGAUGAAGCCACUUCAACCAGGAACAAUGCAGUAAAUAUAGGGAGACAUAUUGAAAAGCUAGAAAAGUUAGUUGUUGAAGGAUUGGAUGCUUUAAAGGCUUCACAAUAGUUCUUUAGCGAAGGACUGAAGACUAUGCAGAUUGUAUUUAUUAGUUUUGUAGUUGUGUUUAUAAUUAUCUUGUACCUGUACAAGAAUUAGUAUUUAGGUGAAAGAACUAAUUACUAUUAUUUAGAUACAAGAACUAAUAGCUCCUAAGUAUAACGAUAACUAUUGUAUUAUAUUUAUGGAUGUUAAAGUAGUUAUCCAUGUGCUAUAGCAAUACUAAAAUCUUUGGCAUUGA